GAUGAACGCUGGCGGCAUGCCUAACACAUGCAAGUCGAUCGGUAAGGCUCUUCGGAGUACUCGAGAGGCGGACGGCUGAGUAACGCGUAGGAACACACCCUGCAGUGAGGGAUAAGACACCGAAAGGUGUUCUAAUACCGCAUACGGUCUUCGGAUUAAAGCAUUUAUGCGCUGAAGGAGUGGCCUGCGUCAUAUUAGAUAGUUGGUGAGGUAAUGGCUCACCAAGUCGAUGAUGUGUAGCUGGUCUGAGAGGAUGAUCAGACAGACUGGAACUGAGACACGGUCCAGACUCCUACGGGAGGCAGCAGUGAGGAAUAUUUCACAAUGAGCGAAAGCUUGAUGGAGCAAUGCCGCGUGCAGGAUGAAGGCCCUCGGGUUGUAAACUGCUUUUAUAAGAGAAGAUUAUGACGGUAACUUAUGAAUAAGGGACGGCUAACUACGUG
rnacentral:rRNA from 1 species